GCCCCCAGCACUCGGGCGGCGGCGCGGCGGGCGGCGCGGGCGCGGGCGGCGCGGCGCCGGGCGGCUGCUGUUAGGCGCGCGCCUGCACACACUGAGGCGAGCUCGAGGUGGCACAUCUCACUGAGGAAUGGCGCAGCUGUGUGCAACGAACAUUGGUACGAAAUUUACUGCAGGACAGAUCAACUAUUUAGAUUUUUUUGAAUGCUGCAAAUUCGCUUGCAUCUGGACACUCACUUUAAAAAUUGUAGCAUGCCGCUCGGGCACUUAUUAUAAUACUUAAUAGUACAUAUUAAACAGUGGAA